AACUUGAGUGGCGGAGGUGAGUAACACGUGAGAUCGCCUUUAGCGGGGAAUACCAUCGGAAACAAUGGCUAAUGCCCCAUAUGCUCGUAAGAGUGAAAGGAGUACCACCAAAGAGAAGCUCGCGGUGAUUAGCUAGUUGGUAAGGUAAUGGCUUACCAAGGCGACGAUCAGUAGCUGGUUUGAGAGAACGAUCAGCCACACUGGAACUGAGACACGGUCCAGACUCCUACGGGAGGCAGCAGUGGGGAAUUUUCCGCAAUGGGCGAAAGCCUGACGGAGCAAUACCGCGUGAGGGAUGAAGGCCUUUGGGUUGUAAACCUCUUUUAUCAAGGAGGAAGUUCUGACGUGUACUUGAUGAA
rnacentral:rRNA from 1 species